GAUGAACGCUAGCGGGAGGCCUAACACAUGCAAGCCGAGCGGUAUUUGUUCUUCGGAACAGAGAGAGCGGCGCACGGGUGCGGAACACGCGUGCAACCUGCCUUUAUCUGGGGGAUAGCCUUUCGAAAGGAAGAUUAAUACCCCAUAAUAUAUUGAGUGGCAUCAUUUGAUAUUGAAAACUCCGGUGGAUAGAGAUGGGCACGCGCAAGAUUAGAUAGUUGGUGAGGUAACGGCUCACCAAGUCAAUGAUCUUUAGGGGGCCUGAGAGGGUGAUCCCCCACACUGGUACUGAGACACGGACCAGACUCCUACGGGAGGCAGCAGUGAGGAAUAUUGGACAAUGGGUUAGCGCCUGAUCCAGCCAUCCCGCGUGAAGGACGACGGCCCUAUGGGUUGUAAACUUCUUUUGUAUAGGGAUAAACCUACUCUCGUGAGAGUAGCUGAAGGUACUAUACGAAUAAGCACCGGCUAACUCCGUG
rnacentral:rRNA from 1 species